rnacentral:rRNA from 1 species
UAGGGAAUCUUCCGCAAUGGGCGAAAGCCUGACGGAGCAACGCCGCGUGAGUGAAGAAGGAUUUCGGUUCGUAAAGCUCUGUUGUUAGGGAAGAAUGAUUGUGUAGUAACUAUACACGGUAGAGACGGUACCUAGCCAGAAAGCCACGGCUAACUACGUG